UCUAUAGUUCUAUGAUUCUAUGACAGUUACUGAGUGAGAUCUGAAACAGGAAUCUUGAACCUCAGAACAGUGUUCUGUCAUCACAUAUGAUGGAAGAAUAUUAUCAAAGUAAUCGAAUAGUAGACAAAGGGAUUUAGAACACUUACAGCUGCAUUCGGCUCUCCAGAUGAAGUUCAUGACAGCUUGAAGGAACAAAAAAGCAGCAGGCUCAGCUGCCAGCAUAGCAGCUUUCUAAGAUAGAGAGAACCAGCAAAACAAUGUUUGACAGGAACAUGAGUUCCAGCAAGUACAUUUCUUCAGGCAUCAUUCAACUCUAAAGUACGGAACAAAUAACAAGCCAGCAAACCAAGGCUGAAUGUAAAACACAGUCAAAACGAUUUGCUGCUUGGCAGAUUAUAAUGGCACUUCCCAGAUCUGUCUGUAAUUAGAGCCCCAAGCUAUGGUACUUUUGUGUGAGAAGCUAAAAAUGGGUUUGCACCACCAAGUUUACAGAGCUCAAAGGGAAACUGAAGUUCGUAAAGUGAAAAGUCUUCAAGGCCAAUGGACAAUGAAAGCCACAGCCAGAAUUGUAACUGUUCUCUGUUCAACUCUCAUUUCAAAAGUAGCAUCCACCAAAUGUGAAGCAAAACUGGAUCUUCUCAUUUGUGAUUAAGACACAACACCUCCACAUUACAUAACACCACUAUUUUUCCCUUGAUUCAUUAUUUCAUCAAGUACUGCUCUUGUGGUAGACAGGUGUCUGCCAUACACUUUAUCUCUGAAAAGAUAUCAUCUUUCAUACCAAACAUUAUAUUGUUGCUGUGCUUUCCUUUGGAAAAAAGAAACCGAAUUUAAUUGCGGUGUAAAACCUUGCAGGAAUUUGGUCAGAAACCUCAGCUGAAUCACUCCUACAAGGAAAGCUUCAUGCCAUGUACACUUCUGUCCUCACCCUUUGGGCCAGUGAAUGGAUCAGAUUCAUUACAGCAUCAACUGUCUCCCCCUUCACUUCUUGGUCAGAAAAUUUAGUAUCAGAGUCAGUUACUGCAUAUUAGAGGUGAGCAUCAGAAGUAAAAAUUACCCAUGUCAGAAUGGCUCUCAUCAGGGACAACCAAAGGGAAAAAGAAAAGGUGAAACAGAGGCCUACCUCUGGGAAGGCAGGCUGGUACUAGAGCUGUUGUGCUCUCAUCAGAAACCUCUCCUAGUUCCUGUUAUGUCAGUUGGCAAUGAUACUGCAUUAGAAAGGUGACAGACAGGACUGAAUGAGCACAGAUGACAUCACCAGAAAAGGGAAAAAAAGAAACCAAUCCACUUUGUACUAGAAAAAAAGAAGCCCUGUCCCUGUACUGGUGAUAAAGUGCCCCUUGUCUUGGGGAGCUGUGACUUGCUGGGUAAGACACAUAGGCACCUCUCUGUACCUGGAUGUAGGCCUGGAGCAUUUGGGUAAUUCUACCUGAAGUUCAAAGGGAAGACUUUAUUAAUACCUUAUUAGGAGCAGAGACUUUUCUAAGUCAGUCUAAGACAGCCUGAUCUUGGUAUCAGGGAAGUUAAUGGAGAUGAUGAUCUUGAGUGAGAUCACGUGGCAUACACAGGACAAGCAGGAGAUCAGGCCCAGCCAGUGUGGGUUGAUGACAGGCAGGUCCUGCUUGACCAACUUGAUCUUGUACGAACAGGUUAUCAGCCUACUGGAUGAGGGAAAGGCUGUGGAUGUAAUCUACCUAGAUUUCAGUAAAACCUUUGAUACCUUCUCCCAUGGUAUUCUCCUGGAAAAGCUGGUAGCCCAUAUCUUCAUCGCCUCCAGGAAUGGAGUAUCCACAAUUUCUCUGGGAACCCUGUUCCUGUGUCUCACCAUCACCUGAGAGAAAAUAUUCUCCUUAACAUUUAACCUAACUUUCCCCCCUUUAAGUUUAAAAUCAUUCAUCCAUAUUCUGUCACUGUCUGCCCAUGUAAAAAAAUUGGUCUCCGUCCUGUUUAUAAGCUCCUUUCAAGCAAGGCCACCACAACUCUGUGGAUCCUGUGGACCUGCUCCAUGAGCUUUGCAUCUUUCUUGCGCUGCGGUCCCAGAACUGGAUGCAGUACUCCACGUGGGACCUCAAAAGGACAGAGCAGAGAUCAACAAUCACCCCCUCCCUAUUGGCCACCCUUCUUUAGAUGCAGCCCAGCUUACCAUUGGCCACCUGGGCGGCAAUUGCACACUGCUGGCUCACGUCAAGCUUUUCAUCCAUCAAAACCCUUAAGUCCUUUUCCACAGGGCUGCUGUCAAGGAGUUCUUCUCCCAGUCUAUUCACAUACUGAGAAUUGCACUGAUCGUGGUGCAGCAUGUUGGA